CCCAGGGAUGAAUAUGGGCCAUCCAAUCUAUAGAUUGAGCCGUGGAGAUGAAGCCAUACUGCCAGAUUUUGGCCGCCCAACACGCGAGCAGUAUAGAGUGUCCUGCGCCGUCCGGAACCAGCAGUAUAACCGGAUGAGGGUAUUUUAGGAAGAUCAUAUUUUGUCCCGCAAGGAAGACUCCAUCUCCUACCCCCGUUCGUUCAGUUUGCCCACCCAAAAAAAUCCCCUCACGUAUUCCGGCCGCCAUGGACCUGCACCCCUGUAGUCCCUCCUCUCUCUCCGGCUUGAGCAGCGACGGAGACGGGAACCACCCUUCCGAGCCAGGUUCCGGCCGCCGCCGCCGCUAACACGCAGCCCCCGUAUCCUCUCCUCCUCGGUCGAUUUGAAUGGCCCCUACGAACUAGGGUUCCGGCCAUCGCUGACGCCGACCACCGUGGCGCAGCUGGUCAAUCUCCGGCCAGGAUGAUCCGCGGCCAUGAAGGUUUCGGAGGGCCGCGGCCCAGCCGGUCAAGUACUAGGCCGAGGCAGACGCGGUGUCGCCGGCGGUUGCCGCCGACCGCGGCGACGAAGCUGCAGGCUGAACAACGACAACGGACUCCUCUGAACAGAAGUGUUUGACCGGUGUCAAUUGACACCGGCGCCUCUGGCAAAAUACCUCUGUAUACACAAGCCGGCGGCAAAAUAACACCAUCAAAAGAGCAAAAUGACACCGUCCCACAUAUGAUCCAUACUAUUAUAUAUGAAACAUGGCAAUUAGCCUGUACAUGAUUACUAGGGCCAUACCAGUAAAUUUAUCUCAAAAGAUCUUGAGAAUAUUGUUUCAUAGCAAGUGAAUAACAAUCUGGCUAAUUGGCAUACUUCAGAAUUUAUUUGUGUUAUCUGUUUCAGGUAAUAUGGCUGUAAAAUCCCUGUUUGUAUGUGGAAAGCAUAUCAUUGGACAAUGUUGUGGUAUUUCACCUUUCUGAUAGGUCCAUCCACAAACUAGCAGAGUUUUCAGGCAGCGACAAUUAACACCCCGGAGCAUUGGGCCGGCCAUGGAUGCGGAGAUGCUGCGACCAAGGCGACCACCAAGGUCUAACGUGGUGGCAGAAAAGCGGGUAAUGGCGGGAGCACGCCGAGACGAGGUCGGUGAGGGCGAGGGCAAGGACAGAGGUCGGUGAGGGCGAGGACCCAUGUUGGCGAGGGAGAGAACAUCUAUGCUGGUGUGAGAGGGUACUGGCAAACAACAUUUAGUUAACUCUUCGCGCCAAGGCCAGAUGAGAUCACCGUUGAGAUCAAGAUCAACAUCCAACAUUCAUCAGGGGGUUGUUUUUCAAAUCCACUUUAAACACAGACACUUUUCACCUGCUCUCUGGGUUGUUGUCAUUAGCAGAUGUCCUAUUUAGCUCGGAUCUAAGCCUUGUAAUCGCUUUCAUUGUUGUAUUUGAUUAAAUCCUAGCCGUUUGUUCCAGCUGGCAUCACUUCCUCUUGUAAGAUGACAUCUGAAUCUAAUAAGGGUAGCUGAAAGUAGUGACUAAAUUCGUGUGA